rnacentral:lncRNA from 1 species
AACUACUCCUGGUCGUCGUCAGCGGGCUGCACGUAGUAGUAGGCACCUCCGGGGUAGUAGGAGUCGUCGUCGACGGUGGCGUCUGGCUCCUGGGCUCCAGCAUCUGGUUGCGACAACCAAGUAGAAAGGAAAGGGGGAAAAGAGGGAGAAAAGCAACCGUGAGUACUCAUCCAAAGUACUCGCAAGCAAGGAGCUACACUACAUAUGCAUGGGUAUAUGUGUAAAGGGCCAUAUCGGUGGACUAAACUGCAGAAUACCAGAAUAAGAGGGGGAUAGCUAAUCCUGUCGAAGACUACGCUUCUGGCAGCCUUCAUCUUGCAGCAUGUAGAAGAGAGUAGAUUGAAGUCCUCCAAGUAGCAUCGCAUAGCAUAAUCCUACCCGGCGAUCCCCUCCUCGUCGCCCUGUUAGAGUGCGAUCACCGGGUUAUAUCUGGCACUUGGAAGGGUGUGUUUUAUUAAGUAUCCAGUUCUAGUUGUCAUAAGGUUAAGGUACAACUCCAGGUCGUCCUUUUACCGAGGGACACGGCUAUUCGAAUAGAUAAACUUCCCUGCACGGGUGCACCACAUAACCCAACACGCUUGAUCCCAUUUGGCCGGACACACUUUCCCGGGUCAUGCCCGGCCUCGGAAGAUCAACACGUCACAGCCCUACCUAGGCACAACAGAGAGGUCAGCACGCCGGUCUAAAUCCUAUGGCACAGGGGUCUGGGCCCAUCGCCCAUUGCACACCUGCACAUUGCGAGGGCGGCCAGAAGCAUACCUAGCCUAGCAGGUGUUCCAGUCCAAUCCGGCGCGCGCCGCUCAGUCGCUGACGUCACGAAGGCUUCGGCUGAUACCAUGACGCCGAGUGCCCAUAACUGUUCCUGCGUAGUUGGUUAGUGCGUAUAGACCAAAUGGCCAGACUCAGAUCAAAUACCAAGAACUCGUUAAGCGUGUUAUUUUGAAGUAACCGCGGACGCCGACCAGGGCCAGGCCCACCUCUCUCCUAGGUGGUCUCAACCUGCCCUGUCGCUCCGCCACAAAGUAACAGUCGGGGGCCGUCAGGAACCCAGGCCCACCUCUACCGGGAUGGAGCCACCUGUCCUUUCAGCCCCCUCAUCAGAAUCACUUGCGGGUACUCAACGAGCUGACCCGACUUUAGUCACCACAUGUGUCAUGUAUAUAAAGUAUAUAGUAUAUACCCGUGAUCACCUCCCGAAGUGAUCACGGCCCAGUAGUAUAGCAUGGCAGACGGACAAGAGUGUAGGGCCACUGAUGGAACACUAGCAUCCUAUACUAAGCAGUAGGAUAGCAGGUAAGGGUAACAACUGUAGCAACAAUGACAGGCUAUGCAGCAGAAUAGGAUUAACCGAAAGCAGUAACAUGCUACACUACUCUAAUGCAAGCUGUAUAGAGAAGAAUAGGCGAUAUCUGGUGAUCAAGGGGGGGCUUGCCUAGUUGCUCUGGCAAGGAGGGGUCGUCUUCGACGUAGUCGAUCGGGGCACGAGCAGCGGCGUUAGUCUCGUUGUCUACCAGAGAGAAGAAGGGGGAGAAACAAUGAAUACAAUGCAAACUGAUGCAUAACGAUGCAUGACAUGUCAAGUAACGGCGCUAGGAGUUCCCUAACGCGGUAGGAGGUGAUACCGGCGAAGGGGGAAAACAUCCGGGAAAGUAUUCCCGGUGUUUCGCGUUUUCGGACAGGUGAACCGGAGGGGGAAAGUUGCGUGCUCGCUAUGUGUGGCGGACGAACGGGUUGCGUAUCCGGAUUCGUCUCGUCGUUCUGAGCAACUUUCAUGUACAAAGUAUUUUCAUCUAACUUACGGUUUAUUUUAUAUUAAUUUUCAAAGUUUUAUUGAUAUCCUAGAAUUUUCUGGAGUUAUAUUAAUUCAAAAUUAAGAGCAAAAUGCUAUGUGCACACACUGAAGUGUACACAUCAGGGUGCCACAGAGGCUGACAUGUGUGGCCUGUUGACUGGGUUGACCCAGUCAACAUUGACUGGUCCAUUGAUAAACAGUACCAGUGGGGCCCGGUUGUCAUUGACUUCGGAUUAACUAAAUACUAUGUAUUUAACCGGGGUGGUCCUGCAUGUUAUUUCUAUUAGACUAAAUAAUCAACUAAUCUAAUUAGUAUUACUACUAAACAUAAUAGAGCAUGCCUUAAUUAAUGGGCAGAGCCCAGCCAGUUGUGCACGGUGUGCUUGAACUAGCAUGGCCAGUUCGCACGGGCAAGGCCACGGCCGCCAUGCUCAGCCAGGAGUGGCUGCGUGUGGGAGGGGCGCAUAGGAGCGAGCACGGCUGGGCGUGCACGGGCGGGCGCAGGGACGCGAUGCGUGGCUAUGGGCAGCAGCAGUAACAAUAGGGAGCAGCAGUGGCGGGCAAAGCAGCAGCGGUGGCUGAGUAGUGCAGCAGCAACAGCAGCGAACCGGGGGCAGCGCGGAGGCACGGACGGGCGCGGGCGACGGGCGCGGAGACACACGGCGGCGCUGCCGAACGCGGGGAUGGGCGCGGGCAGGCGCCACCUAGCAGGGGCGCGCGCGGACACGGCGAGCACGCGGCCACGGCGAAACGGCGACGGAACAGAGGGGGUUCGAGGCAAAUGGGAGUGGCGCUCACGGGAGGGGAGGCGAAGGACGCAGCCGGCGUGGCAGAGGAGUUCCGGUGAGGUAGAUUGGGCGCGGGGCGGCGGCGGCCGUAGGCGAGGAAGACGCGUCGAUCCAGUGGCGUUGCUGCGGUGCUGCUCGAUCCAAAGGGCGAAGGCAACGUAGUCGAUGAAGGCGCAUCCCCCCGAUAUGCUCCCAAGCGACGGCAACGACGGUGAACAACGUGGUCGCCGCACUCGGUUCCCAGCUCAAUUUCGAGCAGAGGAGGAGGAGGCUCGACGGGGAAAG